rnacentral:rRNA from 1 species
AAUAGAUACCCGGGUAGUCCACGCCGUAAACGGUGGGCACUAGGUGUGGGGACCAUUCCACGGUCUCUGCGCCGCAGCUAACGCAUUAAGUGCCCCGCCUGGGGAGUACGGCCGCAAGGCUAAAACUCAAAGGAAUUGACGGGGGCCCGCACAAGCGGCGGAGCAUGCGGCUUAAUUCGAAGCAACGCGAAGAACCUUACCUAGGCUUGACAUGCAGGGAAAUCUGGCAGAGAUGCCAGGUCCUUCGGGGCCUUGCACAGGUGGUGCAUGGCUGUCGUCAGCUCGCGUCGUGAGAUGUUGGGUUAAGUCCCGCAACGAGCGCAACCCUCGUUCUAUGUUGCCAGCGGUUCGCCGGGGACUCAUAGAAGACUGCCGGGGUCAACUCGGAGGAAGGUGGGGAUGACGUCAAGUCAUCAUGCCCCUUAUGUCUAGGGCUGCACGCAUGCUACAAUGGUCGGUACAAAGGGCUGCAAUACCGUAAGUGAGCGAAUCCAAAAGCCGGCUCAGUUCGGAUUGGGUCUGC